rnacentral:lncRNA from 1 species
GAAGAGGAAACAAAAGAAGGAGGUUUGCCGAACAGCCUCGAAUAUUACGGCGGGAGAAGCGAUCAGUUAAUGGCACUGGAUGCAAUGAGGACCUUACAGUUGUUGGCGUCAUCUGGUCAGGAACUCUCUGCAGCUGAGAGUGGAGUGUGACUCGGUGGCCCUGCCACCGAAGCGUGUGAAGAAUCCAACCUCUCCCGUCACCAGCACUUGCCAGAUCUUCGCUCAGUCAACUCUUCGGAUCUUUGCUGGGAGACCACAGGGUUUUCAACGUCAGCCUCCGGCCACCUCCUCGAUUUUGCCUGAGGCACUGGUUGGAGCCUUCCCCUGUGUGGCUCUCCACGGGGUCAGAACACCUGGGACUCAGUCCGUGAAGCAGGAUCCCACCAGGUGGAGGUGCAGGAGACAGUACUGAUGAGUGAGUACCUGGGAGCAACCCUCAGCCAGGUGUGCGCAGGCCAUUGGUGCACCACCGUAGCUUGUGCUGUCUGCCGGAGCUCCCAAGCGGGAUGGAGCGCCUGGCGAUCAUGGUGAUAAUUGUAUGAAUAAGGCAUUUUUAUUGGUUGCCUUCCUGUCCUCAUCUCCUGUCCCCACUCCUGGAUUCCUCUCCCAAUUCAAUGACUUGCAGUCAACUCCUCGUCUCAAAGUCUGCCUUCUGGGGAGCCCAGCUGUGGGCUGCACAGAUGAGAAAAUCCACCCAAAUGGACUCCAUGGCCAGGAACUCAGCAUCAGAUAGAAGCCUGGGGCGUUUAUCUGUUGAGCAUGGGACGCAGCUUGGACAGUGGUUUGCUUUCCUCUCUGAAAUGCACUUUUCCAAGGCCAAAUCGCAGAUAAGCAGCUUCCCCCUGGAGUACCCCUGUUUUAUGCGGGGUAGGGAGGGCCGUGGGUGCGAUUAUGCUGGUCUGGAAGCACACAUUGACUUUAGAUAGUCCACACAGUGCAUGCUCAGUGGAAAAUCGAGAGGUGUUGUGCAUCUUGAGUCACCACCCUCUCUCACCACAGGGUCAAUCAUGAGGGGAGGAAGGGGAGGCAGAGGGAGGAAUGGAACCUGAUGCUGUCGGUGAACCUGAACAUGGACAGAGUGUGGGGGGCUCAGUGGAGUCCACAGAAGCCCCCUCCCAGAAUAAGGAGGCUGCUGGCCGGAGCUGAGUGCAGGGAGGGAGGCAUCUUAUCAGCUCCCGGACCACACUUGCCGUCCUUCCCUCUGGAGGCACCACCCAUUUGCUGUGUGCCAGUAGCAGCAUCAUUGAGACCAGAUUAAAAAUGUCUGUGCCCUUUAAAGGUGGGAUGUUUUAUUUUUUUAUUUGA